rnacentral:lncRNA from 10 species
UUGUUAUUUCUAUACAGAUUGGGACUUCUAGUUUGCAUCUCGUCUUCUGCAAUCUCUUUUUCAGGAGUGAGCACUAGCCAGAGUAUAGCAAACAUUUUCUCUUUUCUCCUAAAUAUGCAUGUUAGCAUCAGUGGGGGCAAGCAUUAAGAUGAUCCCGUCAGGAUUUAAGUUUAUGAAUGAUUUCUCAUGGUGUGGGACCCUAGCUGAACAUGGGCCAUGAAAGAGAAUGCUCGUUUCAUAUCCUGAAUUGGCCCCUUCCUGGCUUUGGGACCUUGGGCAAAUUACUGAGUCUCCAAGCCUCGGGUUUUUCAUCUGUAAAAUGGGAUGAUGGUAACAAUAAGAACUAGUUUGUUGGAUUGUUGUGAGAAUUAAAUGAGGUUCAGUACUGUGCCUAACCCAUAAUAAGCACUGAACACAUGUCUAGGGCAUUAUCGGAGGAUGAAGAUGGAAAUUGUGUUUGAGUGUCUCAUAAGGUCUACUCCUGGGCUUUAGGGGCUGGAGUUGGAGCACGAGCACAGGCCACAGAGGCAGAAGCCCAGGCCACUGCGAGGUCUGUGGGGAAGGCUGAGGUUUCAACCCUCCAGAGAUGGGCAACAGCCCCAGCUGGGAUGGCCAGAAUCAUGGGGCAGAGAGGCCCACUCCAUGCUAGAGGCAGGCAGGGCACCUGGAGGGCUGUGGGUGGGGUGUCAGGCCCCAGAUGAUUGCUCUGGGAGGGCACAUGGACAGUCAAAUUGGGUUUAGGGCUGCAAAGAAGGGGUAUUGAUGUUUAAAAAUUUUUUUUACAGUGAUAAAAUAUUUGCAACAGGCCAGGCAUGGUGGUUUACACCUGUAACCCUAGCAUUUUGAGAGACUGAGGUGGGAGGAUCGCUUGAGUCCAGGAGUUCGAGAUCAGCCUGGGCAACAUAGUGAGACCUUAUCUCUAAAAUAAAUAAAAAAAAUUAGCCAAGCAUGGUGGUGCAUGCCUGUGGUCUCAGCUACUUGGGAGGCCGAGGUGGGAGGAUCACC